UCCUCGAUAGCUCAAUGGUAGAGCAAUCGGCUGUUAACCGAUUGGUUAUAGGUUCGAGUCCUAUUCGGGAGCC
rnacentral:tRNA from 1 species